GACGAACGCUGGCGGCGUGCUUAACACAUGCAAGUCGAACGGAAAGGCCCUGCUUUUGUGGGGUGCUCGAGUGGCGAACGGGUGAGUAACACGUGAGUAACCUGCCCUUGACCUUGGGAUAACUUCAGGAAACUGGGGCUAAUACCGGAUAGGAGCUCCUGCUGCAUGGUGGGGGUUGGAAAGUUUCGGCGGUUGGGGAUGGACUCGCGGCUUAUCAGCUUGUUGGUGGGGUAGUGGCUUACCAAGGCUUUGACGGGUAGCCGGCCUGAGAGGGUGACCGGCCACAUUGGGCCUGAGAUACGGCCCAGACUCCUACGGGAGGCAGCAGUGGGGAAUAUUGCACAAUGGGCGGAAGCCUGAUGCAGCAACGCCGCGUGCGGGAUGACGGCCUUCGGGUUGUAAACCGCUUUCGCCUGUGACGAAGCGUGAGUGACGGUAAUGGGUAAAGAAGCACCGGCUAACUACGUG
rnacentral:rRNA from 1 species